rnacentral:rRNA from 1 species
GACGAACGCUGGCGGCGUGCUUAACACAUGCAAGUCGAACGAUGAAGAAAAGAAUCCAAGCUUUUGCAGAAAUUCAUUUCGGAUUAGUGGCAGACUGGUGAGUAACGCGUGAGCAACCUACCUCUUACAAAGGGAUAGCCUCGGUAAACCGGGAUUAAUACCAUAUAACAUUGCGACGAAUCAUUUCGAUGCAAUCAAAGCUACGGCGGGAAGAGAUGGGGUCGAGUCGCAUUAACCGGAUGGUGAGGUAACGGCGCACCAUAGUUACGAUGGGUAAACGGGAUGAGAGAGUGAACGGUGACACUGGCACUGAGACACGGUCCAGAAUACUACAGGAGGCAGCCGAGGCGAAUAUUGCAAUAUCGAGGGAACUAUGAUGGAGCGACGCCUGGUGAGUCAUGAAGGAAGUAGUGUAGUAAAGCACUGUUAUAUGGGAAGAAACGGACUGUACCAAAGGAGAAAGCACCGGCUAAAUACGUG